rnacentral:tRNA from 237 species
GGGGCCAUAGCUCAGUUGGGAGAGCGCUUGAAUGGCAUUCAAGAGGUCGUCGGUUCGAUCCCGAUUGGCUCCACCA